rnacentral:rRNA from 1 species
UACGUAGGUGACAAGCGUUGUCCGGAUUUACUGGGCGUAAAGAGCGCGCAGGCGGUCGAUCAAGUCGGGUGUGAAAGCCCCCGGCUCAACUGGGGAGGGUCACUCGAUACUGAUCGACUCGAAGGCAGGAGAGGGAAGCGGAAUUCCUGGUGUAGCGGUGAAAUGCGCAGAUAUCAGGAGGAACACCGGUGGCGAAGGCGGGUCGCUGGGCCGAUACUGACGCUGAGGAGCGAAAGCGUGGGGAGCGAACAGG